GGAAGGUUGGCCAUGGUGACUUUGUCUCCAUGAAGGCCAGGCAGAGUACACACCCAAUUUUCAGUGCUUUAGAAACCCUCAGGGGAUAAAGAACAGCUACAUACACAUACAACUCCAUAUAGUUUCAUAUAACAGAAGGUGAGAGGAAUGCACAGAAAGGAUUUAUUCCACUCCCCUUCGGCCUAACAGCCUCAAAGGGUGGGAAGAGACCUGAAAAGGUCACGUACUCCAUUACAUCUUCCCAAGGCAAGAGGCAAAGUCACUGUAAAACAAGAAAAUGGUCAGCUUGCCAUCACCACGCCAUCCAGGCAUCUUCCCUAUGUGUGCGCCUGUCCAUGUUAAAUGGAUGGCAGCCACUGGACUCCUGCUUCUCUCUCUGGAUAACACACAACCGCCACAGUGGCCUCAAAUCUUCUCCUUAACCCACAGCAAAAGUUUUUCUCUGCUCAGGCUCAUCUCUCUUGUUGAACUGUAUCUGCUCUCGCACUGUCGUGUUUAUGUUCUUCAAAGAACUGAAAGCCGUUAUCCUA